UACGAAGGGGGCUAGCGUUGCUCGGAUUUACUGGGCGUAAAGGGCGCGUAGGCGGUUCGUACAGUCAGACGUGAAAUUCCUGGGCUCAACCUGGGGGCUGCGUUUGAUACGUGCGGACUUGAGUGCGGAAGAGGGUCGUGGAAUUCCCAGUGUAGAGGUGAAAUUCGUAGAUAUUGGGAAGAACACCGGUGGCGAAGGCGGCGACCCGGUCCGAUACUGACGCUGAGGCGCGAAAGCGUGGGGAGCGAACAGG
rnacentral:rRNA from 1 species